rnacentral:tRNA from 1 species
GGAGAGGUGCCCGAGCGGCUGAAGGGGCUGGUUUCGAAAACCAGUGUGCGGGUAACCGUACCGAGAGUUCGAAUCUCUCCCUCUCCG